UUAUCGGCAGUUCAACGAUUGCCAUCGGAUUACUGCAUGUUACACCACAAGAGAGACAGACCGCUUUUGUUUGUGUGUGUCUAUGUAAACUAGCAAAGUUUCAGAAGCACUUCUGUAUAUGCGAAUCAUCACGUUCUUAUACAUACGCUUUACACGUUACAUACACUUUAGACCGUCUAGCUGGACAGACGUGACGUAUAGGAAACGUCAGCGCAGCGUGUGCUUACAUUAUUCCUCCCGUUUCUUGCAAUGUUCAGUAUACUUUCGGUCAUGCACUUAUAUGGAAGUUUUUACCGCACUGACGUCAAUAGCAUUCUUCAGUGUGUCUGUCCGCCGAGAGUCGCUUUAUAAGAAGCGAGCAUUCUCCGACCAAGCAUUCACGACCCGAACAACAUGAAGAUCGUCCUAUGUUUUGGCUUGGUCCUGCUUCUGCUUUCGUGCAAUGUCCUACAAGCCUUCUAUCUGCAGGACACCACAGCCACGAACGAAGAACCGGAACACCUCGGACGCAUAAAGUCCACGCCGCAGGACACGUCGUACCAGGGCAACGGACAUCAUUGGGCGCGAAUGGUUCUCACUGGACGUCAGCAAAAACGCGAAGCAUGUCGCAACCGGUUUUGUGCAAAUCUCUGUUCGGUCGCGCCAAACCUAGUUUACGGUGGGUGUGUUGAUCUUUGUGUGAAGCUGAAUGUUGACAUACCAUUAUGUCCAAAAGGGAAAUAACAGCGAUGACACUCUUAUCACCUGGAGAAAUUUGUGAUUGAGUGCAAUAAAAUUAGAGAAUGCAGUAAUAAGAGCAGGCCCCUGUAGCACAAUGUUCACCUAAAGACACGGAUAAAACCUUUUAGUGACAUGGAUCAGCUUGAAGCACCCAUUUGCCUGAAAAUCAUCCAGCGUGACAGCGCUCCUGUACUGCUCUCUAAUAAAAAUAUCAAGGUAA